UAGGGAAUCUUCGGCAAUGGACGGAAGUCUGACCGAGCAACGCCGCGUGAGUGAAGAAGGUUUUCGGAUCGUAAAGCUCUGUUGUUAGAGAAGAACGUUGGUAGGAGUGGAAAAUCUACCAAGUGACGGUAACUAACCAGAAAGGGACGGCUAACUACGUGCCAGCAGCCGCGGUAAUACGUAGGUGGCAAGCGUUAUCCGGAAUUAUUGGGCGUAAAGCGCGCGUAGGCGGUUUUUUAAGUCUGAUGUGAAAGCCCACGGCUCAACCGUGGAGGGUCAUUGGAAACUGGAAAACUUGAGUGCAGAAGAGGAAAGUGGAAUUCCAUGUGUAGCGGUGAAAUGCGCAGAGAUAUGGAGGAACACCAGUGGCGAAGGCGACUUUCUGGUCUGUAACUGACGCUGAUGUGCGAAAGCGUGGGGAUCAAACAGGAUUAGAUACCCUGGUAGUCCACGCCGUAAACGAUGAGUGCUAAGUGUUAGGGGGUUUCCGCCCCUUAGUGCUGCAGCUAACGCAUUAAGCACUCCGCCUGGGGAGUACGACCGCAAGGUUG
rnacentral:rRNA from 1 species